AGAAAGGUGCUGCUACACUGAGAUCGACUAGCACUCUCAGGGACUGUCAAAGCAAGGGAUUUUUCCCAUGGAGCAUGUGGAUGACCCGGUGAAACCCUAUCAUGAGGUUGUCUUAAAUCUUGGCCAAGAUCACUGCCGGAGAGGUGUUUGCUUUAUACUCUGCAUAUGAAUCCCUUGUUGGACCUACAUGCUGCAGAUAUCUUCUACUACUCUGGAAGUAACUUUUUCACUCUUAAUAGAGUCUUGCUUUAGAAAAAACAAAAACUUCAGUCAGAGGGCAAUUAGAGGGGCUGCUGAAUGGGAAUAGUUCAAUUCUCUCAAUUCUCCUGUCCCAUUAGCACAAUUACCCACUGGAUUUUUUUUUUGUCUUUUGGAAAAUCUCAGUGCUGGCUGAACGAGCUAUAGUUUUGCUAUUACAACACAAAUAAUAAUUCCCCAACUGCUCAGUAUUUUCUUCUAUCUUUAGUUAAUCUGAGUGUCUAUCACCUAUGCUUUCUUACUUAACCUUUUUGAGCUCAGUUUUGUUAUUGGUACAAAAAUGAAUAAUGUACUUACCUCAUAUGGUUGUUGUGAGAAU
rnacentral:lncRNA from 1 species